UCCCAUUCCGAACAGAGAAGUUAAGCUCACUCACGCCGAUGGUACUGCGGUUAUCCCGUGGGAGAGUAGGUAGCCGCCUCUU
rnacentral:rRNA from 1 species